GACACUAUAGCCAAGUGGUUAAGGCGACAGAUUAGAACCAAUUGGCGUACAAUCUGUUUCCCUCUGGGAGCGUAGGUUCGAACCCUACUGGUGUCG
rnacentral:tRNA from 1 species